rnacentral:rRNA from 1 species
GGUAACCUGCCCAUCAGAAGGGGAUAACACUUGGAAACAGGUGCUAAUACCGUAUAACACUAUUUUCCGCAUGGAAGAAAGUUGAAAGGCGCUUUUGCGUCACUGAUGGAUGGACCCGCGGUGCAUUAGCUAGUUGGUGAGGUAACGGCUCACCAAGGCCACGAUGCAUAGCCGACCUGAGAGGGUGAUCGGCCACACUGGGACUGAGACACGGCCCAGACUCCUACGGGAGGCAGCAGUAGGGAAUCUUCGGCAAUGGACGAAAGUCUGACCGAGCAACGCCGCGUGAGUGAAGAAGGUUUUCGGAUCGUAAAACUCUGUUGUUAGAGAAGAACAAGGAUGAGAGUAGAACGUUCAUCCCUUGACGGUAUCUAACCAGAAAGCCACGGCUAACUACGUGCCAGCAGCCGCGGUAAUACGUAGGUGGCAAGCGUUGUCCGGAUUUAUUGGGCGUAAAGCGAGCGCAGGCGGUUUCUUAAGUCUGAUGUGAAAGCCCCCGGCUCAACCGGGGAGGGUCAUUGGAAACUGGGAGACUUGAGUGCAGAAGAGGAGAGUGGAAUUCCAUGUGUAGCGGUGAAAUGCGUAGAUAUAUGGAGGAACACCAGUGGCGAAGGCGGCUCUCUGGUCUGUAACUGACGCUGAGGCUCGAAAGCGUGGGGAGCGAACAGGAUUAGAUACCCUGGUAGUCCACGCCGUAAAC